GAACGCACCUUGCACUCCUUGGUAUUCCGAGGAGUAUGCCUGUUUGAGUGUCAUUAAAUUCUCAAUCCUCUCAAACUUGUUUUGUAGAGGCUUUGGAUUUUGGAGUGUUGCUGGCCUUUCAAAGUCGGCUCCUCUUAAAUGUAUUAGCUUGUAUAUUUUUGCAGAUAAGCUUUAGUUUGAUAAAUAUCUAUCUAAUUGCUUUGAAGCAAAUGUCAGCUUCCAAUUGUUGUUUUACAACACUUUCUUGACAUUUUUGACCUCAAAUCAGGUAGGACUACCCGCUGAACUUA
rnacentral:misc_RNA from 1 species